CACACACACACAUACACUGUUUCUCCUAAAUCACGCUCAUAAUCAUCAUCAUUUCCAAUGACAUCUCUAAUUUCUCCGUAAAACCCUAGCAUUUCAAUUCUGUUAGAUCUUACAUAUAUACACCGACUCAAUUACCAAUACAUAUAUAAUACAUUACAUAUAUCAUAGAUUACAUUCAUAACUAGAAUCGAAGAAGAUGUAUAUGGCGUACGGAUGGCCGCAGGUGAUCCCACUGGAAUCAGGAUUGUGUCCUACUUCACAGCAGAUCAUAUAUCUUAAAGUUGUUGAUCGGUUAUUUCUCGUUGUUUGCCCUUCUCAUUUAGAGCUCUGGAGCUCUUCUCAGCAUAGGGUGAGGUUAGGGAAGUAUAAGCGAGGUCCAGAUUCAAUAGCAAGAGAGGGAGAGAACUUGCGGGCUAUCUGGAGCCCUGAUACUAAAUUAAUUGCUGUUCUUACAUCUUCAUUCUAUCUUCACAUUUUUAAAGUCCAAUUUUCUGAGAAAAAAAUACACAUAGGAGGAAAACAACCUUCUAAUCUGUCUUUUGCAACUAUUUCUCUACUUAUGAGUGAAGUGGUCCCCUUUCCAGGCAAGGACUUGACAGUGAGCAAUAUUAUUUGCGACAACAAAAACUUGCUGGUCGGACUUUCAAAUGGAACUUUAUAUAAUAUGUCUUGGAAGGGUGAGUUUUAUGGAUCCUUGGAUCUGGACUUCCAUUUGUGUAAUGCAAAUGGCCAUACAAAAUUGUCCAAUGGCGUUGUAUCAUCAAGUCAUUCUUUGUCUAGAAAGUCAGCCGUCACUUAUAUGGAGUUUUCGUUGCGCUUGAAGCUGUUAUUCGUUCUGUUCUCGGAUGGACAAUUGGUGUUAUGUUCUGUAAGCAAGCGAGGUUUAAAGCAAUCUGAUUCUGUUAACCCUGAGUAUCGAUUGGGGUCCGAUGAUGCAGUAUGUGCUUCAAUUGCACCAGACCAACAAAUUCUUGCUGUUGGCACCAGAAGAGGUGUCAUUGAGCUGUAUGAAAUUGGUGAACCCGUAUCGCUUAUUCGUUCUGUAUCUUUACAUGAUUGGGGGUAUUCAAUGGAUGAUACUGGUGCAGUUAGUUCUAUUGCAUGGACACCCGACAGUUCUGCCUUUGCAGUUGGGUGGAAGUCAAGAGGACUAACAGUGUGGUCUAUAUCUGGUUGCCGUUUAAUGUCUACAAUUCGUCAGAUUGGUUUAAAUUCUGCGUCUUCUCCGGGGGUUAAGCAAAAUCCAGAUGGCAAUUAUGAACCAUUAAUGAGUGGUACCUCAUUUAUGCAAUGGGAUGAAUAUGGAUAUAGACUCUAUGCUGUUGAAGAGGGUUCUUCAGAGAGAAUACUUGCAUUUUCUUUUGGUAAAUGUUGCCUCAACAGAGGGGUUUCAGGCAAAACUCAUUCCCGCCAAGUAAUCUAUGGCGAAGAUCGGUUACUUGUUGUGCAGCCUGAGGAUACAGAUGAACUCAAGUUGAUGCAUCUUAACCUUCCAGUCUCCUAUAUCUCCCAAAAUUGGCCGGUUCUUCAUGUGGCUGCUAGUGAAGAUGGGAUGUAUCUAGCUGUUGCUGGACUUCAUGGGAUGAUAUUAUAUGACAUUCGAUUAAAUAGAUGGAGAUUUUUUGGUGAUGUUACCCAAGAACAAAAAAUUCAAUGCACAGGCUUGUUAUGGAUGGGGAAAAUUGUUGUUGUUUGCAACUACGUCGAGUCAUCAGACAUGUACGAGUUGCUCUUCUACCCAAGAUAUCAUCUUGAUCAGAGUUCACUUCUCUAUCAGAAACCAUUGCUUGCAAAACCCAUGGUGAUGGAUGUCUAUAAUGACUAUUUACUUGUCACCUACCACCCAUUUGAUGUCCAUAUAUAUCAUGUGAAGGUAUCUGGUGACUUGACUCCUUCUAGUACACCAGAUAUACAGCUUUCUACAGUACGAGAGCUAUCCAUCAUGACUGCAAAGUGCCAUCCUGCUGCAAUGCAUUUUAUACCUGAUCAGCUUGAAAGUGACCCCUCCUCCAAAGAGAUUAUAUCAUCUUCAGAUUCAUUAGAAAAAGAACCCAUUAGAUGUUUAAUAUUAAGGGCAAAUGGGGAGCUAUCAUUACUUGACCUAAUUGAUGGCCGGGAAAGGGAGCUUACAGAUUCCAUAGAAUUGUUUUGGGUUACCUGUGGGCGGUCAGGGGACAAGACAAAUUUGAUUGAGGAAGUUUCAUGGUUAGACUAUGGUCAUCGAGGAAUGCAGGUUUGGUACCCAUCUUCAGGUUUGGACCCUUACAAGCAGGAAGAAUUCUUGCAGUUGGAUCCUGAGCUUGAAUUUGAUCGUGAGGUAUAUCCUCUUGGUCUGCUUCCCAAUGCUGGAAUAGUAGUUGGCAUUACCCAGAGACUAUCCUUUUCAGCAUGCACCGAGUUUCCAUGUUUUGAGCCAUCUCCGCAAGUUCAAACAAUACUACAUUGCCUCCUUCGUCACCUUCUUCAGAGAGAUAAGAGUGAAGAAGCCUUACAACUGGCUCGAUUGUCAGAGGAGAAGCCUCAUUUUUCCCACUGCUUAGAGUGGCUUCUUUUUACUGUUUUUGAGGCCGAGAUUUCCAGCCAAAAUGCAAGCAAAGAUAGUCCUUCUCUUUUGGAGAAAACCUGUGAUUUAAUAAAGAAAUUUCCGGAGUAUUUUGACGUUGUGGUUAGUGUAGCAAGAAAGACUGAUGGUCGACAUUGGGCAGAUUUAUUUUCAGCUGCUGGAAGAUCAACUGAGUUGUUCGAAGAAUGCUUCCAGAGGAGAUGGUAUCAAACUGCGGCUUGCUAUAUACUAGUUAUAGCAAAGCUCGAAGGAGCACCUGUCAGUCAAUACUUUGCGCUACGCUUGUUACAAGCAACGCUGAAUGAGUCAUUAUACGAGCUUGCUGGGGAGCUGGUGAGAUUUCUAUUGAGAUCUGGUAGAGAGUAUGAACCUACAACAACAGAUUCGGAUAAACUAUCUCCCAGGUUUCUAGGCUAUUUCCGUUUUCCUUCUGGUAAGAGACUGUCCUCAGAUGCAAGAAGUCCUUCAUUCAAAGAGCAGAAUGCACAUGUUGCUUCUGUCAAAAAUAUUCUAGAAAGUCAUGCUAGCUACUUGAUGUCUGGGAAAGAACUCUCCAAGCUUGUUUCAUUUGUAAAAGGAACCCAGUUUGAUCUAGUGGAAUAUCUACAACGCGAAAAAUAUGGGAGUGCUCGUUUGGAGAAUUUUGCUUCUGGACUCGAGCUAAUAAGCCAGAAGCUUCAAAUGGGAACCUUGCAAAACCGCUUGGAUGCAGAAUUCCUUUUAUCUCAUAUGUGCUCUGUCAAGUUUAAAGAGUGGAUUGUAGUAUUGGCAACUCUUUUAAGGCGAUCUGAGGUUCUUAUUGAUUUAUUUCGUCAUGAUAUGCGGCUCUGGAAAGCAUAUAGUGCAACACUUGAGUCACAUCCAUCAUUUUCCGAGUACCAUGAUUUACUCGGAGCCUUGGGGGAGAAACUUUCUUCCAAUGAAAUCACAGAAGAGGCCUGAUGAGAACACAUGAUUCUGAAACCCCAGAUUAGCUCAAUUAUAUCUUCAGACAGAAGGACAUUUUACCUGAAGAAGUGGUUGCAUCAUUUGUCCUUGAGAUAGUCCAAGAGGAAAAACAAUCAUUUAAGCAGGUGCCUACUCCCAAUUUACUCUGGAUCUUUUUGCUCCAACUCAUGAUUCUUUGCCUUGGGGAGUGGCUCUUGCAAGACAGAAAAACCCUCCGUAGAUACAAGUCCAAUCGAAUUGUCACGUGAAGUUGAUAUGAAAAAACAAAUCAAUGAAUGCCCCCUCAUAAUUGGGCUGUGUACAAAAUGUUGAAUUGGGCAAAGGGCAUUAGUUAAUUUAAUUGACGUAUGAAACGUGGUCGUAUGUAUAUGUUGUGGGGGAAAACAAUUCCAGGAAAAGGUUUUGUUAAAGCUGUUAUGUGUACUGAUUAUUUUUUAAUUUUGUUUUUACUUUUGUGUAAUGAUUUUUGCCUCCAUUGUCCCUUUGAUGAGUCUAUAUGAUUGUAUGAUUCAAGUGUCAA